GGCCCCAUAGCUCAGCAGGAUAGAGCGAUCGCCUCCUAAGCGAUAGGUCACCGGUUCGAUUCCAGUUGGGGUCA
rfam:Lactobacillus backii strain TMW 1.1989, complete genome.